CGUAGGGACCAAGCGUUGUUCGGAUUUACUGGGCGUAAAGGGCGCGUAGGCGGCAAGUCAAGUCAUCUGUGAAAUCUCCGGGCUUAACUCGGAACGGUCAGAUGAUACUGCUUUGCUAGAGUGCAGAAGGGGCAAUCGGAAUUCUCGGUGUAGCGGUGAAAUGCGUAGAUAUCUGGAGGAACACCGGUGGCGAAGGCGACAUCCUGGACCGGUAUUGACGCUGAGGCGCGAAAGCCAGGGGAGCAAACGGG
rnacentral:rRNA from 1 species